rnacentral:rRNA from 1 species
UAGGGCUAAUACGUGCGAAGCGCCGAGCCGCGAGGCGACGGCGUUCUCGCCGGAUGUAGGAACCGACCCGGGGACCGCCGGGGCAACCCGGCGCCCCCGAGACGGGGCGAACCACGGUGAAAUGACGGAUCGUCGGCCCCGCGCCGGCGACUCGCCGAAUGAGUUUCUGACCUAUCAACUCGAGACGGCGGGGUAGAGGCCCGCCGCGGUAACGACGGGUAACGGGGAAUCAGGGUUCGAUUCCGGAGAGGGAGCCCGAGAAACGGCUACCACUUCCAAGGAAGGCAGCAGGCGCGCAACUUACCCUAAUCUCGAUUCGAGGAGGUAGUGACAGAAAUACCGAUGCGGGACCCUACGGGUGCCGCGUUCGGAAUGAGUACGAUUCGAACCACCUAACGAGGAACGAUCGGAGGGCAAGUCUGGUGCCAGCAGCCGCGGUAAUUCC